rfam:Ailuropoda melanoleuca scaffold1064_44, whole genome shotgun sequence.
GCCUGGCUGGCUCAGUCAGUAGAGCAUGUGACUCUCGAUCUCAGGGUCGUGAGUUCAAGCCCCAUGUUGGGUG